CACAUUAGUUGUCCGCACCUUUCCAGAGCCUAACACCGCCUGGUGGUCGCUCCCCGCAGCAGCAGCACAUAAAGGUGUGGCCAGUCAUAUUUGCGGCAGUUACCUGAGAACAACAAGAUUAAAGGACGCUGCUGGCGGCGUCUACUUUAAUCUACUCAAACGAAAACAACAAUGGUGGAACAAACAAGACAGCAGAUUCGCGUUGUAUCCCUCCAGGCUGGACCUGGUCAGAUGGACGCCGGCACUGUCAGGAUCAAUGACAGAGCCGCACGAGCUGUUGCGCGCCAGUUGGCUGUAAUUGGAGACCAGCUGAACCAGGAGUGGUCCAGCAGACAGCCACACUGGUUACCAACUCCUCUGCACAUGCUGAGACCUGCUCAGGCACUGACAAGGACAAUAUAUCGAGAUAUCCACAGUCAGCUAUGGAGCUUCCAGGGCCUGUCUGCUGCAGCAAAGACCUGGAUAAUGAACACUGCACCUUGGCAGGGGAUCGUCAGAGCUGAGGCACGAACAGCCUGGGCGUCAAGUUUUCUACCGGUAACCAGCACUGGCUGGACCACAGGAGCACUGGUGGCUGCGGCACUGGUGGCUGUCGUGACCAUUUUAGGUGCAUUGUGGAUGCAAUGGAAAGCUUAAAGAGCCAUAAGCAGGUCUUUUCGAUAUAUUUCCUAAAAAAAAGUUUGCAAAUGAGUGACAAUUAUUGCUAACUGAUUUGUUUCUGCUGUUUACUUCAUCUUUUCUUUUUAUACUAUUUUAAUAUGCGGUAUUGAAGUUGAAAUUGAAGACUGUUAUCAACAUGUUGAGCAAGUUGUCCUGGAACCAAAGAAAGAAAAACAUUGACUGUAAAAUUUAGGAGGGCAUGUGGAAAUGAGUUUUAAAGUGUUGCCCAAAAAGUGGGCCAGCAUAUUGUAGCAGUAACAUGUUGUUUCACAGUUGUAUUAAUGUCAGAAAGCAUGUUUUUCAUGACUGGACUGUUGCUGGCCUGCAGUCUUUUGUAUCCAGAUUUGUUUCUUACUGGUUUAAGAGGCCAAACUUUUUACAGAUCAUAUAUAGUGUGGCUUAUUUUAAAAUGAAGGGAGCUGGACUUUCUAUUGCAGAUUCGAAAAUGCUUUUUCAUGUAAUACAAAUAAACUUCAAAUUGAAAAAUAUAAUA
rnacentral:lncRNA from 1 species